UACGUAGGGGGCGAGCGUUGUCCGAAGUUACUGGGCGUAAAGCGCGCGUAGGCGGUCAUUUAAGUCUGGGGUGAAAGGUUCAACGCUCAACGUGAACAGUGCCUUGGAUACUGGGUGACUUGAGUUCGGGAGGGGGCAGUGGAAUUCCAGGUGUAGCGGUGAAAUGCGUAGAUAUCCGAAGGAACACCGGUGGCGAAAGCGGCGCGCUGGACCUCUUCUGACGCUGAGGCGCGAAAGCCAGGGGAGCAAACGGG
rnacentral:rRNA from 1 species